rnacentral:rRNA from 1 species
CAAGUCGAACGGGCUAGUGCUUCGCACUAGUCUCUUUCUGGGGUUGUUACUCUAAGACUGCCUGACUAAAAUUUUAUCGUAAAGCAGGGGUUUUAGGAGAAUUUCCCCUAAAGGGGCCAGUGCGGAGCACUGGCCAGUGGCGAACGGGUGAGUAACACGUGGGUAAUCUACCCUCGAGUGGGGAAUAAGCUUCCGAAAGGAGGUCUAAUGCCGCAUAACGUUUCAUAACGAUGGUUAUGAAACCAAAGCCCAAAAGGCGCUCGAGGAGGAGCCUGCGUCCUAUCAGCUUGUUGGCAGGGUAAUGGCCUACCAAGGCUAUGACGGGUAGCCGGCCUGAGAGGGUGUCCGGCCACACUGGAACUGAGACACGGUCCAGACUCCUACGGGAGGCAGCAGUGGGGAAUUUUGCGCAAUGGGGGAAACCCUGACGCAGCGACGCCGCGUGGAGGAUGACGGCCUUCGGGUUGUAAACUCCUGUCAGAAGGGACGAAAUCCCGCAAGGGACUGACGGUACCUUCAGAGGAAGCCCCGGCUAACUACGUG